rnacentral:rRNA from 1 species
UACGGAGGGUGCAAGCGUUGUCCGGAUUUAUUGGGUUUAAAGGGUGCGUAGGCGGUUCUUUAAGUCUGGGGUGAAAGCCCACUGCUCAACAGUGGAACUGCCCUGGAAACUGGAGAACUUGAGUACAGACGAGGGCGGCGGAAUGGAUGGUGUAGCGGUGAAAUGCAUAGAUACCAUCCAGAACCCCGAUUGCGAAGGCAGCUGCCUAGACUGUAACUGACGCUGAGGCACGAAAGCGUGGGGAGCGAACAGG